rnacentral:rRNA from 1 species
GAUGAACGCUGGCGGCGUGCCUAAUACAUGCAAGUCGAGCGAACAGACGAGGAGCUUGCUCCUCUGACGUUAGCGGCGGACGGGUGAGUAACACGUGGAUAACCUACCUAUAAGACUGGGAUAACUUCGGGAAACCGGAGCUAAUACCGGAUAAUAUAUUGAACCGCAUGGUUCAAUAGUGAAAGACGGUUUUGCUGUCACUUAUAGAUGGAUCCGCGCCGCAUUAGCUAGUUGGUAAGGUAACGGCUUACCAAGGCAACGAUGCGUAGCCGACCUGAGAGGGGGAUCGGCCACACUGGAACUGAAACACGGUCCAGACUCCGACGGGAGGCAGAAGUAGGGAAUCUUCCGCAAUGGGCGAAAGCCUGACGGAGCAACGCCGCGUGAGUGAUGAAGGUCUGCGGAUCGUAAAACUCUGUUAUUAGGGAAGAACAAAUGUGUAAGUAACUAUGCACGUCUUGACGGUACCUAAUCAGAAAGCCACGGCUAACUACGU